GUGGGGAAUUUUGGACAAUGGGCGCAAGCCUGAUCCAGCAAUGCCGCGUGCAGGAAGAAGGCCUUCGGGUUGUAAACUGCUUUUGUAUGGAACGAAACGGUCCGGGUUAAUACCCUGGGCUAAUGACGGUACCGUAAGAAUAAGCACCGGCUAACUACGUGCCAGCAGCCGCGGUAAUACGUAGGGUGCAAGCGUUAAUCGGAAUUACUGGGCGUAAAGCGUGCGCAGGCGGUUUUGUAAGACAGGCGUGAAAUCCCCGGGCUCAACCUGGGAAUUGCGCUUGUGACUGCAAGGCUGGAGUGCGGCAGAGGGGGAUGGAAUUCCGCGUGUAGCAGUGAAAUGCGUAGAUAUGCGGAGGAACACCGAUGGCGAAGGCAAUCCCCUGGGCCUGCACUGACGCUCAUGCACGAAAGCGUGGGGAGCAAACAGGAUUAGAAACCCGUGUAGUCC
rnacentral:rRNA from 1 species